AGUCUAUAGAGUGGAUGAUAUGGUCCAGGCAUGGUAGUUAGAGCAGGGUGGAGGACAUUCAUGUCAGGUGGAGUAACUCUUCCAUAUGGAGAGAGAUUUGUAGGUGUGCUCCAGAGGUUCUAGCCCAGAUGACAUGGUGUUUGGGGGAUGGACAGUCGAUUGACCUCUGGUAGGAUCCUUGGCUAUCAGAGCUUCCUCUGAGUUGGUGGCUGACCUUCAUUAGCUCGUAGGUUGGUGAUCGGAUGUGGG
rnacentral:lncRNA from 1 species